GAUGAAGAACGUAGCAAACUGCGAUAAGUAAUGUGAAUUGCAGAAUUCAGUGAAUCAUCGAAUCUUUGAACGCACAUUGCGCCCGCCAGUAUUCUGGCGGGCAUGCCUGUUCGAGCGUCAUUUCAACCAUCAAGCCCCCCGGCUUGUGUUGGGGACCUGCGGCUGCCGCAGGCCCUGAAAAGCAGUGGCGGGCUCGCUGUCACACCGAGCGUAGUAGAUCUCAUCUCGCUCAGGGCGUGCUGCGGGUUCCGGCCGUUAAACCACCUUCAUAACCCAAGGUUGACCUCGGAUCAGGUAGGAAGACCCGCUGAACUUAAGCAUAUCAAUAAGCGGAGGA
rnacentral:misc_RNA from 1 species